UGAUCAUGGCUCAGGACGAACGCUGGCGGCGUGCCUAAUACAUGCAAGUCGAACGAACUCUGGUAUUGAUUGGUGCUUGCAUCAUGAUUUACAUUUGAGUGAGUGGCGAACUGGUGAGUAACACGUGGGAAACCUGCCCAGAAGCGGGGGAUAACACCUGGAAACAGAUGCUAAUACCGCAUAACAACUUGGACCGCAUGGUCCGAGUUUGAAAGAUGGCUUCGGCUAUCACUUUUGGAUGGUCCCGCGGCGUAUUAGCUAGAUGGUGRGGUAACGGCUCACCAUGGCAAUGAUACGUAGCCGACCUGAGAGGGUAAUCGGCCACAUUGGGACUGAGACACGGCCCAAACUCCUACGGGAGGCAGCAGUAGGGAAUCUUCCACAAUGGACGAAAGUCUGAUGGAGCAACGCCGCGUGAGUGAAGAAGGGUUUCGGCUCGUAAAACUCUGUUGUUAAAGAAGAACAUAUCUGAGAGUAACUGUUCAGGUAUUGACGGUAUUUAACCAGAAAGCCACGGCUAACUACGUGCCAGCAGCCGCGGUAAUACGUAGGUGGCAAGCGUUGUCCGGAUUUAUUGGGCGUAAAGCGAGCGCAGGCGGUUUUUUAAGUCUGAUGUGAAAGCCUUCGGCUCAACCGAAGAAGUGCAUCGGAAACUGGGAAACUUGAGUGCAGAAGAGGACAGUGGAACUCCAUGUGUAGCGGUGAAAUGCGUAGAUAUAUGGAAGAACACCAGUGGCGAAGGCGGCUGUCUGGUCUGUAACUGACGCUGAGGCUCGAAAGUAUGGGUAGCAAACAGGAUUAGAUACCCUGGUAGUCCAUACCGUAAACGAUGAAUGCUAAGUGUUGGAGGGUUUCCGCCCUUCAGUGCUGCAGCUAACGCAUUAAGCAUUCCGCCUGGGGAGUACGGCCGCAAGGCUGAAACUCAAAGGAAUUGACGGGGGCCCGCACAAGCGGUGGAGCAUGUGGUUUAAUUCGAAGCUACGCGAAGAACCUUACCAGGUCUUGACAUACUAUGCAAAUCUAAGAGAUUAGACGUUCCCUUCGGGGACAUGGAUACAGGUGGUGCAUGGUGUCGUC
rnacentral:rRNA from 2 species